GAUGAACGCUGGCGGCGUGCCUAAUACAUGCAAGUCGAGCGAACAGACGAGGAGCUUGCUCCUCUGACGUUAGCGGCGGACGGGUGAGUAACACGUGGAUAACCUACCUAUAAGACUGGGAUAACUUCGGGAAACCGGAGCUAAUACCGGAUAAUAUAUUGAACCGCAUGGUUCAAUAGUGAAAGACGGUUUUGCUGUCACUUAUAGAUGGAUCCGCGCCGCAUUAGCUAGUUGGUAAGGUAACGGCUUACCAAGGCAACGAUGCGUAGCCGACCUGAGAGGGUAAUCGGCCCCCCUGGACCUGGACCACGGUCCAGACUCCUACGGGAGGCAGCAGUAGGAAAUCUUCCGCAAUGGCGAAAGCCUGACGGAGCAACGCCGCGUGAAUGAUGAAGGUCUUCGGAUCGUAAAACUCUGUUAUUAGGGAAGAACAAAUGUGUAAGUAACUAUGCACGUCUUGACGGUACCUAAUCAGAAAGCCACGGCUAACUACGUG
rnacentral:rRNA from 1 species